CCCUUAGAUGUUCUGGGCCGCACGCGCGCUACACUGGUACGUUCAACAAGUUUACAACCUUGAUCGAUAGGUCUGGGUAAUCUUUUUAAUGCGUACCGUGCUAGGGAUAGAUUAUUGCAAUUAUUAAUCUUGAACGAGGAAUUCCUAGUAAACGCAAGUCAUCAGCUUGCAUUGAUUACGUCCCUGCCCUUUGUACACACCGCCCGUCGCACCUACUGAUUGAAUGACUCGGUGAAAAAUUGGGACUGUGAGAACAAUCGAUUCAGUUCGAAUGUACUCGUGGAAACUUUUUUUAACCUCGCCAUUUAGAAGAAGGUGANGUCGUGACA
rnacentral:rRNA from 1 species